UACGUAGGGGGCUAGCGUUGUCCGGAAUCAUUGGGCGUAAAGAGCGUGUAGGCGGCUCGGUAAGUCCGCUGUGAAAGUCGGGGGGCUCAACCCUCGAAUGCCGGUGGAUACUGUCGGGCUAGAGUGCGGAAGGGCGAGUGGAAUUCCUGGUGUAGCGGUGAAAUGCGCAGAUAUCAGGAGGAACACCAAUGGCGAAGGCAGCUCGCUGGAACGGUACUGACGCUGAGGCGCGAAAGCGUGGGGAGCGAACAGG
rnacentral:rRNA from 1 species